GGGAAUGUGGCUUAGUGGUAGAGUGCUUGCCUAGCAUGCAUGAAGCCCUGGGUUAGAUUUCUCAGUACCA
rfam:Dipodomys ordii contig_18671, whole genome shotgun sequence.